CGCUCCCCAGCCAGGACCCAGCUCUCCAGAGCCUUCCUCCGGGGAUACCCACAGAAGCGCCGCUGGGUCUCCGUGCUUGUGCGCGGUGAACCCGGCCCGCCGGGGGCUGGCGGGGGGCUGUGCGCCGAGCCGACCGAGGAGGGGCCAGCUCCCAGUGACCCUGCAGUCAGGCCUGCUGUCGGCGCUGGCUGCGGUGGUCCCUGUCAGCAGAGGGGAGGCGCGAGUGGAGGAGGCCUCGGCGGGAGAGCUGGGCUUCCCGCUGCUGCGGCCAAGAGCUGACCUUUGCGGAGUGGCUGCCCGGCUCAGAACCAGCGGGUCCGGACGAGGAGGGGGAGGCAGAUUGGGAAAGGAGGCUGCAACAUUAUACAUAUUCCGUAUCAAUACACCUGCAGUUGAGGCAUAUAUGCAUUUAUUCCAGUGUAACUAGCAUAGAGUACGAUCUUAGCUGCGGGUGUGCAAUGCGGUGGUUGGACACCUCCAUGCUUCCCUGCGCUCAUCAGGGGAGCCAAAUCUAGUCCAGACCCAUUCACAGAGCUCUGCCAGCAAGGGCCCUGCUAGAGCAACAGCAAACCUUAACAGGAACUGUCCCAUGACCCGUCCCGUCACCUGUUCAUCUCACCGACUAACCAGCCAGCUUGACUCUACUCCCCACCCAGGACUGCUACACCCAGGACUGCAAUGCCGUAGGUAUCACUGAUAAACUCGCUGCAGGCCAUCCAGGCUUAAUAGAAAACAGAGAAACAAAGCAAAAGUUAGAAUACACAACUGAGAUUCGAUGGGAGUGGGGUUUCCGACAAAGAUUCUCGGGCAGUGGGAUUCACUUAACUUUCGGGAACUACUGAGAUACAGAUCUGUGCUUAAUGACGUUCCAUUCGUGAGCUAAUUUAAAGCAAACAGGGGGGCACAUGUAUUCUUUUACACUACAUCUAAGCCAUGUUGCUCUGCAAGAUGUAUCUUAGUUUCAUGUGCUAGUAAGAAAAAAUAGCAACAUGGACACUCUUACAGGAGACCUGUCUAGAGCGGGGUGAUCCAACAGUCAGGACGUCAGCGAGGAUUAACGAAAACAGAACCAGAACCCAGCGAGGGACGGGGAGGAAACUUGCAGAUCUCAAAUCGGCCAACGGCAGAAAAAUAUUCCAAAAUCUUCUCUAAGAAUUUGCACCUCACGCUGACAUACACAUGCACUCUUAGUUGGAAUCCACAUUGCCAGUGAAGUCCAAAGACCCUCAGGAAGAGAAUUCAUCUCCAAGUGGUUUAAAGCUGAUGGGGCUCCCAGAUUAGGAAAAGUAGCAAGCGCAAAUUCUGUUCCGAAGUGUCCGAUCUCCAUCCAGGCCUGCAGUGAUGACAUGACACCGUUGACGGAAAGUUGAAUGUCAACUUCAGAGAAGAUAAAAUGCAAACAUAAGUCAUCACCCCAGAGCCCUUAUUCGUAAGCGUGCAGUCAUAUGAAUUGCAGGUGUGCGUUCAAAAUGUUUGUCUCCUGCUUGCUGAAACAGGUUAUGAGACUCACAUGGCCUGGACUACUUACAUGUAAGGCCAUCAUGUACAUACGCGGCAGAACUUCGGUAAAAUUGUUUUUGAGAAGUUUAUUAACCAUGCGUCCAGUAAGCAGAGUGCCACGGGUGUCUCCUCGCUGAG